GACGGGGGGGGCUAGUGUUAUUCGGAAUGACUAGGCGUAAAGGGCACGUAGGUGGCGGGGUAAGUCUGGUGUGAAAUCUCGGGGCUCAACCCCGAAACUGCACUGGAUACUGCCUUGCUUGAGUACUGGAGAGGAGAUUGGAAUUUACGGUGUAGCAGUGAAAUGCGUAGAUAUCGUAAGGAAGACCAGUGGCGAAGGCGAAUCUCUGGACAGUUACUGACACUGAGGCACGAAGGCCAGGGGAGCAAACGGG
rnacentral:rRNA from 1 species